rnacentral:misc_RNA from 1 species
AAUCGCUGCAACUUCGGGUUGUAGAGGAAAGUCCAUGCUCACACGGACCUGAGACGGCCGUAGUGUUCGUGCCCGGCGAAGUCAUAAGCCGGGGCAGGCCCGCUGGGUCUGACGGCGGGAGUAACGCCUAAGUCCUUAGGGAUAUGGCCGAGGCUCCCUGAAAAGUGCCACAGUGACGUAGCCGCAUCGGAAACGGUGCGGGUGGAACGCGGUAAACCCCUCGAGUGAGAAACCCAAAUUUUGGUAGGGGCAUCCUUCUGAAGGAAUCCAACGGAGGAAGGGACAGG